GACAGAGGUUGCAAACGUUGUUCGGAAUUACUGGGCGUAAAGCGAACGUAGGCGGUGUUCCAUGUCAGAGGUGAAAGCCUGGGGCUCAACUCCAGAAUUGCCUUUGAAACGGGAACGCUUGAGUCCGAGAGAGGAUGGCGGAAUUCCUAGUGUAGAGGUGAAAUUCGUAGAUAUUGGGAAGAACACCUGAGGCGAAGGCGGGUUGCUGGGCUGAUACUGACGCUGAGGCGCGAAAGCCAGGGGAGCAAACGGG
rnacentral:rRNA from 1 species